rnacentral:rRNA from 1 species
GGAAUCUUGGACAAUGGGGGCAACCCUGAUCCAGCGACGCCGCGUGGGUGAUGAAGGCCUUCGGGUUGUAAAGCCCUUUCACCGGGGACGAUGAUGACGGUACCCGGAGAAUAAGCACCGGCUAACUCUGUGCCAGCAGCCGCGGUAAUACAGAGGGUGCAAGCGUUAAUCGGAAUUACUGGGCGUAAAGCGCGCGUAGGUGGUUUGUUAAGUUGGAUGUGAAAUCCCCGGGCUCAACCUGGGAACUGCAUUCAAAACUGACAAGCUAGAGUAUGGUAGAGGGUGGUGGAAUUUCCUGUGUAGCGGUGAAAUGCGUAGAUAUAGGAAGGAACACCAGUGGCGAAGGCGACCACCUGGACUGAUACUGACACUGAGGUGCGAAAGCGUGGGGAGCAAAC